rfam:Dictyostelium fasciculatum unplaced genomic scaffold Scf_ET2XIPL01CNAVH-3, whole genome shotgun sequence.
GAUACGGAGGGAUAUGCAGUCGCAAGUUCUUAUCGCCUUUUACUAUGAGAACCCGUGUUUAUCCCUCAUUAACGUGUCUAUCUCAUUUUUGUGAGGAGUUGAUACUCCUA